rnacentral:rRNA from 1 species
UGAGGAAUAUUGGUCAAUGGACGGGAGCCUGAACCAGCCAAGCCGCGUGAGGGAAGAAGGCGCUCAGCGUCGUAAACCUCUUUAGCCGGGGAACAAAGAGCUGCUCGGGAAGCAGCGUUGAGCGUACCCGGAGAAUAAGCAUCGGCUAACUCCGUGCCAGCAGCCGCGGUAAUACGGAGGAUGCGAGCGUUAUCCGGAUUUAUUGGGUUUAAAGGGUGCGCAGGCGGACGCGCAAGUCUGCGGUCAAAUUCCGGGGCUCAACCCCGGACCGCCGUGGAAACUGUGCGACUAGAGUGGGCGAGAGGCAUGCGGAAUGCGCGGUGUAGCGGUGAAAUGCUUAGAGAUCGCGCAGAACUCCAAUUGCGAAGGCAGCAUGCCGGCGCCUUACUGACGCUCAUGCACGAAAGCGUGGGGAUCGAACAGGAUUAGAUACC